rnacentral:tRNA from 1 species
UUUAUUGUGCCUGAAAAAGGCUUAUCGUGAUAGGAUAAAUUAUGUAAUACUUCAUUUUACCUUUACUA